rnacentral:pre_miRNA from 1 species
UUAUACUCCAGAGGAGUGUCACUGAGAACACAUGUGGUGGUGGUGGUGGGGGUGGCAGUGGCCGCGGCGAUGGCAAGAACAACCAACACUUGUGUUCUCAGGUCACCCCUUUGGGGUACUC